UAGGGAAUCUUCCGCAAUGGACGAAAGUCUGACGGAGCAACGCCGCGUGAGUGAAGAAGGAUUUCGGUUCGUAAAACUCUGUUGUCAGGGAAGAAAAAAUGUAUAGUAACUAUAUACAAAAGAGACGGUACCUAACCAGAAAGCCACUGCUAACUACGUGCCAGCAGCCGCGGUAAUACGCAGGUGGCAAGCGUUGUCCGGAAUUAUUGGGCGUAAAGCGCCCGCAGGUGGUUUAGAAAGUCUGAUGUGAAAGCCCACGGCUCAACCAUGGAGGAUCAGUGGAAACUAAUAAACGUGAGUGAAGGAGAGAAGAGUGGAAUUCCUAGAGUAUCGCUGAAAUGCGUAGAGAUUAGGAGGAACACCGGUGGCGAAAGCGGCUUUUAGGCCUGGAACUGACACUGAGGCGCGAGAGCGUGGGGAGCAAACAGG
rnacentral:rRNA from 1 species